GCGUGGGUCGGCCCGCUGCACAGGUUCAGUGGGCUGGGGGACACCGCCGCCUCAUUCCCCGCGGGCGGCGGUCCGGGCCGGGAGGACCGAACGCGCUUCCCGGCCCGGC
rfam:Streptomyces sp. NRRL F-6602 F6602contig1.1, whole genome shotgun sequence.